GAUGAACGCUGGCGGCGUGCCUAAUACAUGCAAGUCGAACGCAUAGCGAAAGGUGCUUGCACCUUUCAAGUGAGUGGCGAACGGGUGAGUAACACGUGGACAACCUGCCUCAAGGCUGGGGAUAACAUUUGGAAACAGAUGCUAAUACCGAAUAAAACUUAGUGUCGCAUGACACAAAGUUAAAAGGCGCUUCGGCGUCCCCUAGAGAUGGAUCCGCGGUGCAUUAGUUAGUUGGUGGGGUAAAGGCCUACCAAGACAAUGAUGCAUAGCCGAGUUGAGAGACUGAUCGGCAACAUUGGAACUGGGACACGGCCCAAACUCCUACGGGAGGCUGCAGUAGGGAAUCUUCCACAAUGGGCGAAAGCCUGAUGGAGCAACGCCGCGUGUGUGAUGAAGGCUUUCGGGUCGUAAAGCACUGUUGUAUGGGAAGAACAGCUAGAAUAGGAAAUGAUUUUAGUUUGACGGUACCAUACCAGAAAGGGACGGCUAAAUACGUG
rnacentral:rRNA from 1 species